UCCAGCUUAUCCUGCUGGAGGUUGCUGCUAUUUGGUUCGAACUUAGGCAUGCAAGUCUGACGCAAGUCGGCAAACUGCUCAGAAACACGUAGUUAAUCUGCCCUUGGGUCGAGGAUAACCUCGGGAAACUGAGGCUAAUACUCGAUAGAGGUUUUUCGCUGGAAAGCUAUAACCUUGAAACUUGUGCCCAAGGAUGAGACUGCGGCUGAUUAGCUUGUUGGUGGGGUAACUGCCUACCAAGGCGACGAUCAGUAAGGGCCCUUAGCGGGGUCGCCCUGAGAAGGAAUCUGAGACACUAUUCCUAGCCCUACGGGGUGCAGCAGCUAUGAAUUUUUUACAAUGCACGCAAGUGUGAUAGAGCGAACCAAAGUGUUUACCUUUUUUGGUAAACUUUUGUCUACUGUAAAUAUGUAGACGAAUAAGGACUGGGAAAGACCGGUGCCAGCCGCCGCGGUAAUACCGGCAGUUCAAGUUGCAACCAACAUUAUUGGGUCUAAAACAUCCGUAGCUUGCCAAGUAAGUUUCUUGUGAAAUCUCACGUCUCAAGCGUGGGGCGGGCAGGAAAUACUACUUGACUAGAGACCGGUAGACGUAAGGAGUACGGAAGAGGUAGCGGUUAAAUGUGUUAAUCUCUUCUGGACUAACAAUCAGCGAAGGCACCUUACGAGGACGGAUCUGACAGUGAGGGAUGAAGGCCAGGGGCGCAAAACGGAUUAGAUACCCGUGUAGUCCUGGCAGUAAACACUGCUCACUAAACAUCGGGACCUCUUCGGGAGGUUUCGGUGCUGAAGCGAAGGCAAAGAGUGAGCUACCUGGGAAGUAUAGUCGCAAGGUCGAAACUUAAAGGAAUUGGCGGGGAGACACUACAACGAGUGACGCGUGCGGUUCAAUUAGAUUUUACACCGUGAACCUCACCAGGAGCGACAGCAGGAUGAAGGUCAGUCUAAAGGGCUUACCUGACACGUUGAGCGGAGAUGCAUGGCCGACGUCAGCCUGUGCUGUGAAGUGACCUGUUAAAUCAGGUAACAGGCGAGACCCAUGUGCAUAAUUACUACAGAAAUGGGAACAUUAUGCAGACUGCUCUGGUAACAGAGAGGAAGGUAUGGGCUACGUUAGGUGAGUACGUCCCUAAUCCCCUGGGCUACACGCGCGCGGCAAUGGUGGACGCAAUGGGCUGCGACUCCGAAAGGAGAAGCUAAUCCCCUAAUGUUCAUCUCAGUCCAGAUCGAGGCUUGCAACCCAGCCUCGUGACGCCGGAAUUCGUAGUAAUCGGAUGUUAGCAGCGUCCGGUGAAUAUGUCCCUGUCUCUUGCACACACCGCCCGUCAAACCAACCGAGUUAUGCGGAGUUGAAACUCGUCUGAGGAGAAAUUUUGUAUGACAAGGUAGGUUAAGUCGUCACAAGGU
rnacentral:rRNA from 1 species